rnacentral:rRNA from 1 species
UACGGAGGGUGCAAGCGUUAAUCGGAAUUACUGGGCGUAAAGCGCGCGUAGGCGGUUUGUUAAGUCAGAUGUGAAAGCCCAGGGCUCAACCUUGGAACUGCAUCUGAUACUGGCAGGCUAGAGUACAGGAGAGGGAAGUGGAAUUUCAGGUGUAGCGGUGAAAUGCGUAGAGAUCUGAAGGAACACCAGUGGCGAAGGCGGCUCACUGGCUCGAUACUGACGCUGAGGUACGAAAGUGUGGGGAGCAAACAGGAUUAGAUACCCGCGUAGUCC